rnacentral:rRNA from 1 species
AGGCUGAAACUACGCCUACAUGAAGCUGGAGUUGCUAGUAAUCGCGAAUCAGCAUGUCGCGGUGAAUACGUUCCCGGGCCUUGUACACACCGCCCGUCACACCAUGAGAGUUGGCAAUACCCAACGUACGUGAUCUAACCCGCAAGGGAGGAAGCGUCCUAAGGUAGGGUCAGCGAUUGGGGUGAAGUCGUAACAAGGUAUC